GGAGAGGUGUCUGAGUGGUCUAAGGUGCUCGCCUGGAAAGCGGGUGUACGUGAGUAGCGUACCGGGGGUUCGAAUCCCCCCCUCUCCGCCA
rnacentral:tRNA from 1 species